CAGUAGCCACGGUAAUACGUAGGUGGCAAGCGUUGUCCGGAAUUAUUGGGCGUAAAGGGCUCGCAGGCGGUUUCUUAAGUCUGAUGUGAAAGCCCCCGGCUCAACCGGGGAGGGUCAUUGGAAACUGGGAAACUUGAGUGCAGAAGAGGAGAGUGGAAUUCCACGUGUAGCGGUGAAAUGCGUAGAAAUGUGGAGGAACACCAGUGGCGAAGGCGACUCUCUGGUCUGUAACUGACGCUGAGGAACGAAAGCGUGGGGAGCGAACAGGAUUAGAUACCCCUGUAGUCCCUGUCUCUUAUAC
rnacentral:rRNA from 1 species